CUGACAAAGACAGAGGCUGAGACGAUGCUAACAGAUUUUCUCUGCAGUUUUUCAUCAGCUGAGCUUCUCUAGAUUUCCAACUGCCCAGUGGUCUAAAGGGCAUCUUUGGGGGAAAAUCAGCUCUCAUGGAAGCAACUUGUGGCCAAGAUGCUCCAGCUUCAUUGAAAAAAUAUUUGCUAUGUCAAAUGCCAAAAGCUUGGGCUGACCUGCCUUCAUAUCGCGGACCUCCGGCACCUGGCAGUAUUGGGGUCUAUACAAAGAGGACUGGAAGGGAAAGCCUGCGUUAUAGGGGCUACAUUUAUCCAUCUGCUUCAACAGAAAUGCCCUUGACAGCAUUUCAGCACCCAUUCACAUGUGGGUAUAAGAGAAAAUUGUCCAAGUACAAAAAGCUGCUGAAGGAGUUCAAGGAUAAAGAAACUGAGGCCGAAGAAGUGACAAAGUUGAUCUCAGAGAUUCGAAAGAACAGAGAAAUGCUUGGCCAUGUGACUACGUCGUCUGAAUUAAAACACUCGAUCCAAGAAGACAACGCAGCCACCAAUGGAAGAGAAAUCGAAUCAGAACCUACAGGUUCAUUAAUUCAGCAUGUGGAGUCUGACAACGUUGAUCCACUUCAAGAAAUUCUUGAUGAAAGCGAGCCCGCAUCUCUUGACUUGUUUGACGAAUUUGAAAUAAGCUACAAUGAGUGGCCAUUUUAGCAUGCUGUAGGAGCCGGAGUGUCUUUGGAUUUUCAAAUAAAAUAUUUGAAAUCUUGCAUAAA